AAAAAUACCUCUAUUUUGAGGGCCAAGUUACCUAUGCAUCGUUUUUGGAAAGUGCUUCCAAGAAGUUCAGCAUCCCAACCUUGGACUUAAGAGUCUUUGAUGACACAGACUGAGGUUGAUGAAGAAGUCUUUGAUUUCCUCGUGAAAAAACAAAACCUAGGUGUGCUCGAGAAGGUCCAAAUUCAGAUGAUUGCCUGAGUUCCCCUGCAAGCAGCUCCUUUACCAGCUCCAGUGGGGAUAUUGAUGGGGACUCUGAUGACACUGUAAUAUUGCAGUGCAGUCCUGCCACAAGACGGAGAGCUGAAAACCUCUCUUGCCAAAAUGAUUGAAGAUGUUCUAAAGAACAAACCUGGCGGAGAGAGGAUCAUCAAUGAGUAUGCUCGGACAAAAGGUAUUAACAGACGGCAGGCGGAGCGACAUGGUCAAGAUAUUGGUUGCACAAAUAACAAGUGAACAUGGUGCUCAUAGUUUGUGUGUAUAUGUGUAGGACAAGUCCUUCAAGGCGUGUCAAAGAGGACCACGCAAAGGGGAUCAUCAAC